CCUCCAAUUAAGUGUGAAGCCACUGUGUUCUCAUCUUUAGUCUGAAGAAGAUGGACAAACUGUCUGUUCUGCUGACAUUGCUCUGUCUGCCCUGUUUGAGUGGCCAGGCCCUGGAGUCCAUUCCCUCUACUCUGGUACUGAAAACACCCCAAGAAGCCCUGAGUCUUUCCUGCAAGGGAACUGGAUUUGAGUUCAGUCAAUAUGGAAUGCACUGGAUCAGACAACCUGCAGGAAAGGCACUGGAGUGGCUGGGGCUUAUUUACUAUGAUGCAAGCAAAACACAUUACACUAGCAGUCUUCUAGGACGUAUAGAAAUAACCAGAGAUAACAGCAACAGCAUGGUGCAUCUGAGUCUGUCCAACCUAAAGCUGGAGGACUCGGCUGUGUAUUACUGCGCCAGAAACACACACUGGUUAGAGUGAGCGGAGACGCUUUGCAAGAACUUCAAAACAAAUAUGUUACAGGGGCAGAAACAGAUCCGACACAACACCUCAGUAAGGCCACGGAAAAACACACACUGAAAGUACCAGCUGAGGUUGUGGUUUUGAGACUUCCUCUAUCUUUUAGUUUUUGCUUUUCUACAGGAGGAGUAGUUAGUAAUAUUCCCACGGGUUAUUUCUAAGGCAUGUGUUAAGCAUUUUCUGUUAUAUCUGCCAAAAGAUGAAAUUACAGUCACUAAGUAUUGAUUCAAAGGUCACCAAUCAAAC